GUGUGCUAUGGGUGAAAAAACCAUUAAAUCAUUAAUCACCGGAAGUACGUACGCGCGAGACUAUCUUCACUAUAUAUAUUGGCGCUAUUAUUUGAAUUUCGAUUGUCUUAUACUAACAUUCCCUCUCAAUCUAAAUUCGCUCUUGCGCGGCCACUGUACUAACUUAUUUCUAAAUUUUAUAAAUUUGGUAGCACUCAGCGGUUUUGUGAAAAUGUCCGCUAUUUGUUCUUGUGUAUUACAAUAGAUAAUCUUAGGACGGUAUUCACAGUCGCAACUUAUUUCUAAGCUGGGCUUAAACACAUGCUUAAGACGUCGGCUAGAUUCACAGUCGCCGAAUAAGCAACGUCUUAAGUCUGAGCUUAAACAUUUGCUUAGAAAAGUAAAUGCUUAUUGGUGUAGAUUCACAGUCGAUGCUUAAUAAAGUCUUAAGAUCUUAUGAAUUCAUAGUCGAAUAAGUCCGCCUUAUUUGUAGAAAACGAGUUCUUAUUUGGCUUUAUUGAGGUUAGAUUUUUAAGUCGACGAUAUUGAGGACUUAAGCAAACGUUUGAAGUUGUUAUUGUGCAGUGAUGGGACGAGAGAGAGUAGGUUAGGGUACACGAAUACGGUAAAAGAGAUUGUGUUUGCGGUAUUAUGCUACUGCAAGCUUUUAACUUAUUCUGGUGGACAUAAUGAAUGUUUCUCAGCCCACAGUCUCCCGUAUAGUAUUUAGGGUGAGUUUACUAAUAGGCAGUCUGAUGACGGAGUAUAUCAAGUUUCCCAGGGAUCCGGACAAUUCCACUCAAAAUCGCAGAUUAUUCAAUAAUCUGGGACAGGGAAACGGAGCUAUUGGUUUACCAGGUGUGGAUGGCGCUAUUGAUUGCACCCACAUUAGAUUAACAGUAUUCAACAACAUGGAAGAAAUGUACAGAAAUAGAAAAGGAUAUUUUUCAUGACACCCCUGCGGAAUCCACAGACUGAAGAAGAAAUAAGGUACAAUGAAAUCCAGAUCAGGACCCGACAGAUAGUAGAAAGAACGUUCGGUGUUUGGCAUUCUUGUAGAAGAAGAUGAAAUUGAAAACCAAAAUGAAGAUGGAGAAGAAUUAUUAGGAAACGUGGAAAAUGUUAAUGGCAUUGAUGGAUUUGCUACACGUGAAGCACUGAUUGCCCGUAUGUUUCAUUGUGUAAUUGUGUCAAACGAAAUGUAAUAAGGGGUUUUUCAUGCCGCAAGGCUUUUUCACCUUAUUGUGUCUAUCGAUCGAAUAAAUAAUCAUUAUUCUUUCAGCUCAAA